rnacentral:misc_RNA from 1 species
UUUCCUCCUUUGUGGCUGUAAUGGCUGCAAGGGGGACCUCGUAGCAGUCCUCGUGUCCCGAACGUGCCCUUCAUUAUUGAUUGUGUCGUUUCGGUCCUCGAGUGCCUGCUUGAUCUCUCGGAUGCGGAAUGCUACGCGAGUGUGGGGGUCUGUGACCUUCGAACACUCAAAUUUUCCAUUUAAACGGAUGACGUUCGUGGGGUGUACUGAUCGUAUGAUCUGCAUCUUGCGGCGUCCCCGAAUGAGUGCUACCUGGUUGAUCCUGCCAGUAGUCAUAUGCU